rnacentral:misc_RNA from 1 species
GAUGAAGAACGUAGCGAAAUGCGAUAAGUAAUGUGAAUUGCAGAAUUCAGUGAAUCAUCGAAUCUUUGAACGCACAUUGCGCCCCUCGGUAUUCCGAGGGGCAUGCCUGUUCGAGCGUCAUUAUAACCCUUCAAGCUCAGCUUGGUGUUGGGGCCUGCUGUAACUGGUAGCCCUUAAAAUCAGUGGCAGUGCUAUUAGGCUCUAAGCGUAGUAAUUCUUCUCGCUAUAGUGUGUAGUGAGCGCUUGCCAGAACCCCAAACUUUUAUAUGAUUGACCUCGGAUCAGGUAGGGAUACCCGCUUAACUUAAGCAUAUCAAUAAGCGGAGGA